rnacentral:ncRNA from 2 species
AGGGUGAUUUGGAGUGAGAGUUCAUCUAUUUUUGUACUUCUGAAGGGGAAAAGAGUGAGUGGAAAACACUGCUGAAACCCUCAGGUUUCAGAAGAUCCACAUCUUUAC